AUGCUGGGUUCGGCAGCACAUAUACUAAAAUUAGAACAAUACAGAGAAGAUUAGCAUGGCCCCUACACAAGGAAGACACUCAAAUACAAAAUAUGAAAAAAUAUAUU